GACGAACGCUGGCGGCGUGCUUAACACAUGCAAGUCGAACGGAAAGGCCCUGCUUUUGUGGGGUGCUCGAGUGGCGAACGGGUGAGUAACACGUGAGUAACCUGCCCUUGUCUUUGGGAUAACUUCAGGAAACAGGGGCUAAUACCGGAUAGGAGCUCCUGCUGCAUGGUGGGGGUUGGAAAGUUUCGGCGGUUGGGGAUGGACUGGCGGCUUAUCAGCUUGUUGGUGGGGUAGUGGCUUACCAAGGCUUUGACGGGUAGCCGGCCUGAGAGGGUGACCGGCCACAUUGGGACUGAGAUACGGCCCAGACGCCUACGGGAGGCAGCAGUGGGGAAUAUUGCACAAUGGGCGGAAGCCUGAUGCAGCAACGCCGCGUGCGGGAUGACGGCCUUCGGGUUGUAAACCGCUUUCGCCUGCGACGAAGCGUGAGUGACGGUAAUGGGUAAAGAAGCACCGGCUAACUACGUG
rnacentral:rRNA from 1 species